AUUGAACGCUGGCGGCAGGCUUAACACAUGCAAGUCGAACGAUGAUUAUCUAGCUUGCUAGAUAUGAUUAGUGGCGGACGGGUGAGUAACAUUUAGGAAUCUGCCUAGUAGUGGGGGAUAGCUCGGGGAAACUCGAAUUAAUACCGCAUACGACCUACGGGUGAAAGGGGGCGCAAGCUCUUGCUAUUAGAUGAGCCUAAAUCAGAUUAGCUAGUUGGUGGGGUAAAGGCCCACCAAGGCGACGAUCUGUAACUGGUCUGAGAGGAUGAUCAGUCACACCGGAACUGAGACACGGUCCGG
rnacentral:rRNA from 1 species